GUAACAAGAGGUCUACGGACUUAAACUCUCUCGACACACGGUUGGAAGACAAGGGCAUUCCGUAUCACAUUCCGUAUGGCGUUCGUCCAUUGCUCGGACGUUCUUCGCCUAAACCCUAGUAACUACGGUUACACGGUUUCCCGCCAACCGUGCCCACCGGGCUACUUAAGCGCCUCGGAAACACCCCGGUGUAUCUUAACACCACCUUUCUCGGUUGUUUAUAUAGGUAGUCUAUAGGUCAGAAUCUAAGUCUAGCACACGACUGUUACAGUGGUGCGAAAUGCCAGGAGUCACCCUGACUGUUGAGGUCCCAGGAUCGAUCCUGGAUGGGUGCAUGGGUCCGAACUAGUGCACAAGAGGGUUACACCCUCCUUGCCCUGAGGUGGAUGGCCCGUGAGAGCGAGGCAACAACGCAACUGGGCCAAAGGCAGUAAACCCACCCCGCGCCUGCAGUGAGCCUAAACAUCUACGGAUGCGCUGGUGGUCUCACGAGGACGUUCGCUUCCAGGGGGGGAGGACUGUAACGGGAGACUCGCUCCCUUGUCAACCUAGGCGACAAUCCUCUUGUUACAUUGGUGCGAAAUGCCAGGAAAUCCGCAAAUCACACUCGUCACGGACCAUAACCCAAACACGUUCAUUGAUUCACAAAAGAGCCUGGCCAAACUGUCCCGCCGCCAAGUGCGCUGGAUUGAAUACCUUUCCCGCUUCCACUACACGUGGGAAUACCGGCCUGGCCGUAUCAACGUCGCAGACCCCCUCUCUCGCAUGCACGCCACGGUACUUGCCGCUAAGGCACAGUCCCGUUACUCCUUGACCUCUUCUCUGCCCGGCGAGAUUCGCGUGAGCUAUUCACACGACCCGCUAUUCGUCGACGCAAGGGCACUCGCCCGCCACGGUGUCACCUACGACCAAACUGAUGGUUUCUACCGCUGCCAAGGCAAAAUCGUUGUCCCUAACUACAACGAUUUGCGCACCCGCAUUAUCAGGGAGCUUCACGACAGCCCCUACGCCGGCCAUCGGGGUAUCGAACGAACCCUCGAGCUUGUCCAGCGAGAGUUCUGGUGGCCGGGCAUCACUAGUGACGUAAGGCGCCAAGUCCUAGGAUGCGAGCUCUGCCAGCGAAACAAACCGCUCAUGCAGAAGCCUGCGGGUCUGUGCAAGCCUUUGGAGCUCCCACGACACGUAUGGACACACGUGUCGAUGGAUUUUAUUACGCACCUGCCCACAACUCGAGACGGGCAUGACACUAUCGUGGUAUUCGUCGACCGGCUAACCAAAAUGUGUCGUGUAGCCCCCACGACCGAGACAAUUACAGCUGAAGACUUUGCCCAGCUGUUCCUUGAAACUGUUUGGCGAAGCCACGGUUUUCCAGAGGAGGUCGUAUCCGAUCGCGGCUCCGUUUUCGUGAACAAGUUCAUGGCCGAGCUGUAUCGCCUCACAGGCACCAAGCAAAACGUGUCUACAGCUUAUCAUCCACAGACGGAUGGCCAAACGGAGCGCAUGAACCGCGUGCUGCAAGAAAUUCUGCGCAACUACGUAAAUCCUACUCACGACGACUGGGAUAAGAAGCUACCACUCGUCGAAUUCGCAAUCAACAACACAUACCAGGAAUCCAUCAAGGCAACGCCUUUCCAGCUGAACUACUGUCGCAACCCUCGCCUGCCUACUCUCGGCUCUGCAGACAGCAAAGUCCCUGCUGCUGCUCGCUUCUGCUCCGAUAUCGAGGAAAGCAUCCAGCGUGCUAAGCGCUGCAUCUCCGCUGCUCAGGAGCGCUACAAGCACUACGCCGAUCGCAACAUGCGCGAGGUGAGCUACAAAGUAGGCGACCGAGUGCUACUGAACACUCAGCACAUCAACCUUAAGCAUCCCGGCACGAAGAAGUUUCUGCCGCUCUGGAUUGGACCCUAUACGGUCACUCAAACAAUUGGACCUGUCGCAGUCAAACUCGACCUCCCAGCGAACUACCGCAUUCACCCAGUUUUCCAUGUUUCGCGCCUCAAACCUCACAAACAGGCACCCGGCUCCGUCUGGACGCCUCCGCCCCCUGUGGCCGUGCUUGACGAUGGCGCAUACUGGUCCGUUGACCGCCUCCUGGCCCACCGCGACAAGAAGCGCGGCGGUAAGACGGUCAAGGAGUACCUCGUCUCCUGGGAAGGUUACGGUCCUGAGCACAACACUUGGGAACCGGAUGCACACAUCACUGAGUCUGCGAUUGAUGAGUACUGGGCUUCCCAGGCCACACGCAGGUCCAAACGCAAGGUUGCAGCCGACACGGCCCCGGCCCCGGCUGCAGGGGUUACACCAACUGCGCCACCACGCAAGCGUGGGCGUACUGCUUAGGGAAGUCCUGCCACGGCAGACCCCAACACUCCGAAGGCCCCCUGACGCAAGCUCGCAGGGACUCUCGCUCUAGGUGGGGAGGACUGUAACAAGAGGUCUACGGACUUAAACUCUCUCGACACACGGUUGGAAGACAAGGGCAUUCCGUAUCACAUUCCGUAUGGCGUUCGUCCAUUGCUCGGACGUUCUUCGCCUAAACCCUAGUAACUACGGUUACACGGUUUCCCGCCAACCGUGCCCACCGGGCUACUUAAGCGCCUCGGAAACACCCCGGUGUAUCUUAACACCACCUUUCUCGGUUGUUUAUAUAGGUAGUCUAUAGGUCAGAAUCUAAGUCUAGCACACGACUGUUACACGCUGGCAGGCAGCGGUUGCGCUUGUUGUGCAUUCAUACAUUGGCCAGCGGGCGCGGGUUGAUUGCAUAAAUCUAUCAACUCAUGACGAUGGCCAGAACUCAUGAGGCUUUCGUGUCGGUGGAUUGCGGAACUGCUGGAUCGGGCUGGAAUGGCUGGUGGGGAAGCUUUGUUCGGCGCAGCUAUGUGUGUAGAUGUUGUGAGUACUUCUGGCGGAGUCGCGCGGAAUCGGUAGCGGAAGUCAUCGGAAAAGCCUCAUGCGCCACGGCCAGGCUACAGUAUAACGACAUCUGACUGUGGCCCGCACACGCGUAACAACGGUACCCCGGCGCGGCCAGGGCAGAUGCGCGAGAUCUGGGCCAUGCUCUGCUGGUCCCAGAGGCGCAAAUUAUUGAUGCGUUCGAUGGUGAACGACAUGUCUGGUGGUAGCGUCUCUGCAGCAUACCUGCCAACGCCGUCUGCUGCGGCUGCAGUGCUGGGCCCACCCCGCCGGCCGCUGCGCUUGUACCCACCACGUCUACC
rnacentral:lncRNA from 1 species